rnacentral:rRNA from 1 species
UACGAAGGGGGCUAGCGUUGUUCGGAAUUACUGGGCGUAAAGGGCGCGUAGGCGGUUUGUCAAGUCAGGCGUGAAAGCCCCGGGCUCAACCUGGGAACCGCGCUUGAGACUGGCAGGCUCGAGUUCGGGAGAGGAUGGUGGAAUUCCCAGUGUAGAGGUGAAAUUCGUAGAUAUUGGGAAGAACACCGAUGGCGAAGGCAGCCAUCUGGACCGACACUGACGCUGAGGCGCGAAAGCGUGGGUAGCAAACAGG